AUGCAAAUCAGCAUACGAGGCUUUCUUUAUUGGUGCGAUCAGAUUCGCCCCUUGGAAGAGAAUCCGGUGGACCUGAGCUCCUUUGCACUUAAGCUAUUUAUUUGGCUUGCCAUCAAUAAUCAGUGCUGGACAGUAGACCGCCUGGACAAAAGGGGGUUGCCGCACCCGGCUGCAUGCCCCUUGUGCGAUCAAGUUGAGGAGUCAAUUCAGCACAUCCUUGUAUCGUGCGUCUUUUCCAGGCAGGUCUGGUCUCAUAUUCUCCAAAGAUUAGGCGUAAUUGCUAUUGCAACCCACCACUGGCCGGUUCUCAAGCUGGUGAGGUCAAGCUCUCAUUCAAGUUUCCAAAGAACUCUUGAAAGGGCUUACCUCCUCAUUGUCUUGGUGGCGUGGGAAAUAUGGAAGCAUCGGAACGAUUGCGUUUUCAAUGGCGCUAGACCAAAUGUUUCCGUGUUGUUGCUGAGUGCUAACAGUUGCUAA
rnacentral:rRNA from 1 species